rnacentral:rRNA from 1 species
GACGAACGCUGGCGGCGUGCUUAACACAUGCGAGUCGAACGCUGAAGCUUGGUGCUUGCACUGGGUGGAUGAGUGGCGAACGGGUGAGUAAUACGUGAGUAACCUGCCCUUGACUCUGGGAUAAGCCUGGGAAACUGGGUCUAAUACUGGAUACGACAUGUCACCGCAUGGUGGUGUGUGGAAAGGGGUUUACUGGUUUUGGAUGGGCUCACGGCCUAUCAGCUUGUUGGUGGGGUAAUGGCUCACCAAGGCGACGGCGGGUAGCCGGCCUGGGAGGGUGGCCGGCCCCACUGGGACUGAGACACGGCCCAGACGCCUACGGGCGGCAGCAGUGGGGAAUAUUGCACAAUGGGCGGAAGCCUGAUGCAGCGGCGCCGCGUGCGGGAUGACGGCCUUCGGGUUGUAAACCUCUUUCAGCGCGGAAGAAGCGAAAGGGACGGUAAGUGCAGAAGAAGCGCCGGCUAACUACGUG